GGAGGGAGCUAGCGUUAUUCGGAAUUACUGGGCGUAAAGCGCACGUAGGCGGCUUUGUAAGUAAGAGGUGAAAGCCUGGUGCUCAACACCAGAACUGCCUUUUAGACUGCAUCGCUUGAAUCCAGGAGAGGUGAGUGGAAUUCCGAGUGUAGAGGUGAAAUUCGUAGAUAUUCGGAAGAACACCAGUGGCGAAGGCGGCUCACUGGACUGGUAUUGACGCUGAGGUGCGAAAGCGUGGGGGGAGCAAACAGGAUUAGAUACCCUGGUAGUCCACGCCGUAAACGAUGAUAACUAGCUGUCGGGGGUUCAUAGAACUUCGGUGGCGCAGCUAACGCAUUAAGUUAUCCGCCUGGGAGUACGGCCGCAAGGUUA
rnacentral:rRNA from 1 species